GAACGCUGGUAUUUAUUAUUAUUAUUAUUGCCAGAAAUGCUCACUGAUAUCGGCUCUAUUCAAGUUUGCCUUUGCUCGCCUCGAUGAAAACGCAUAAACUUUCCAUCACGGGCUGGUGAAGGUUACCAUCAUGCAGCCUGGGCUCCAUUUGGGUCAAAUAUCCUCCAAAAUGUAACGCCUUUAAGUUGCCUCGACGUGUUAACAAUAACAUGUCUUCUUCUUUCCUUUUUUAAUUUAAAGAGACAGCAAUGUUUAUUCAACGUCUGCUGCAGCGUUUCUUCGACACCGACCAUGUUUUAGGCUAUUUGAACAUCGGGUGCUUUAGUGGUGCUGGUUGUAGCAGUGAAGGGGGAUUGCUUCGCUUAUUUUGGCCGGUUUAAACCCGUGAUUUUGUGCAUAGCAUGCUUCGGCUGUGCUACAAGGCCCCUAAAAGGUUUUAAAUUAAAAGACUUGGCAAACAGUUUCCCAGAAUACGCUUUUGUUCGCUAGCCGUUUCUUGCUACUCAGAGUCGUGAAGACGAGCCUGUCGGCCAUGGCUCGGCUAUUGCGACUUCAUUUCGUCCCAUGCUGAGCAUUUCGGAAUAUAUGGCUUACUAUAACCCGUCCUCAUGCUCGAGUCUAUGGGUGGCUAAGUGUUACAGUCCUGGCGCAGGGUGUAUAUAUAUAUAUCUGUGUGUGUGUGUGUGUGUGUGUGUUUUUGGCGUGGGGCUGACAAACCGACAUGUUUCGCGGACUGUUGUGGCUCUUUAAUUUUCUCCGUGCAGCAGGAAAAAGGGGUCAUGCGAUUAGGCAUUUUCAUUCAAUUUCCACCUCUCGAAACGCUGCGGGCACACUCCUGGGUUUGUUUGUUUGCUACACGCCUGCCCUCGGCUUUUACCGCCGUUGUACAAGUCAAGUCCAGCGCCGGUGUCAGCGAUUUUGGCAGGUCUUCGUGUGACCUCUGAGAAGGAGCAGAUAUUGCAGCAGCUCGCUGAGGGUAUAACUCCAUUCUUUCUCUCUCUCUCUCUCUCUCUCUCUCUCUCUCUCUCUCUCUCUCUCUCUCUCCUUUGCUAUACUACGGGAGGUGUUGGGAGGGGGGGGCGAUAGCUAACUAGCCUUUAGGUCCUCCUCGGCUGCUUAAUUCGGUUUAACGCGACACUACUUGGUGGACAUGUUUGAGACAAGUGUUUCUAAGCGGUUCCAUCUUUUUAAAGAGACUGUGUUCAGUCGCAUUGCAGAGGUUCAUGUAUGAAGCGACCAUUUUCUCCCUCUCUCUCUCUGUGUGUCCCUGCAAGUAACACUGGUGAAUUUUGUAGAGGAGGAAGGGGCUGUGAAACCAGGAGCUAGUCCAGCUCGGCCCUGGCUUUAAUUACAGUCUCGCUAUAGCGGUCCAUCUGCGUGACCUAAACAAAGACGUUAAUCUCGCAGUGUGCUUGUACUUUAGCCACCAUCAUUUAUUUAUUUUUAAAUUAUGACUGCCCCCCCCCCCCCAAAAAAAAAUAAUAAAAUAUAUAUAUAUAUAUACUUUAUUUUUUUUGCACUUCGUUGAUGUAUAGAUUGUUGCUGUGCGCCCACCGGACACAUUGUUGCCUUUAUUUGCACGAGGCACGAGGCAUCUCACGUGCGCUAAUGCUCGACUGACUGAAGUCUGCAGAGCUAAACACACCCCCCUCCCUCCAAAACCCAUCCUCACUUAAACGCCAAGUGGACUACACCUAUAAAAGUGUGCACUUCUUCUAUAAUUUAUUUUUAUUUAUUUAUUUUUGGAGCAGGGUGCGUUCAAAAUCAUAGUCUCAAAAAGUGUUGCAAAUGGCCAAACCGAGCAACAGGUCUGUGUGAACAAUUGGGGGGUCUGCGUCCGUGCAGUUGCUCGUGAGCUUUUUGUUUGCCCCGCAACAAGUGCAGAGAAUUAUUAAGGACACUUUGGUUGCUUGGUUUUUGUUUAUUAUUUUUUUUAGGGUAUCCCCUUGUGUCCUAUGAAUAAGUGUUGGAAAAGUAGGGCAUUACGUCACUGACCCAUCACUGAUAAAUUAUUGUUGCUGGCAUCAACAUUGCUGGAAAGCAACAUAAAGGAGAGUCAUCUUUAGCAAAGACUCAAUAAGUGCCGGUUAUUCAUUGCAGCUCAGGCUUUUUUUUUUUUGGAACUUCACUACUACGUGAAUAUUACAGAAAUAAAGUGCUCUUUGUCCCCAUGGUGAAAAUAUGAUUAUUAUUAUAUCAAUUAUCUUCAGCCAUGAUGGUGAUCUUUCUGACACAAUCUUCCUCUGAGCGUGACCGGAUAGUUUCAGUUACAUUGAUGUUAACUGACCAUAAAUUCUGCUGUGCGUGUGUGUGCGCGUGUGUGCACGUUUGUGCUGUAAUAGUGGGAUGAGUGUUGCAAAGAUGACACGUUUUUGAUCGGAUCCGCUUAUGUGUAAGCUUCUCCCUGAACUGAGGAAACAGGAUGUGCUGUAGAAAUUAUGACUAACUGAUAUAAAAGUCCCCAUCUAAAAUUGAGGCAUUGCAUUGUGGCCAGCCAGUUUCAGGCUUUCUAAAACUGGAAGGGUUUUAAAAAAAAUAAAUUAAUUAAUAAAUUUAGCCUUUUAAUAACUCGUUGUAGUAUUAGCUCUGGUGACAAAGCAUCUGGACUUUGGGAUGGGGGCUGCUUGACUGCAGGAUGCACAUCCCAGUGCUAUGUGUGUUUUUGUGUGCAUGUGUCUCACAUCUGUCAUGUGUUUUCUGCAGCUGCAGUCAAUGCAUAAUGUUUGGCCCGAACCAAACUAGGCCCCCAAACGCAUUUACAAAAACCUGGAGGAGUCCAGCUCGUCAAGGCCCAGCUCCCCCCCAAUGCUUUGAGACAGGACUCUUGGCCCCUUAGUGAGCCACCCCUCCCCCGGUAAUUAGCGUAAGACAAUUAUACAUGCUUGGCUUAACCAUUUCCCCCUGAAACAUGAGCGCGGGUUGCCACCCUUGCCUUCUGCACCCGAUGAACGCCCGCUGUCUGCGAAUGACACUGAAAAUUCAACGGUCACAAACGAUUUCAAAAUAGUGAAGUGAGCGAGUUCUUUUGGGGAAAAAAAGCAAAACGAAACAAUGCAGGGCGAUCAUCAUUUCCCACAGGGAUUGCAAACGCCAGUGUUGAGAGAACAAAUCCAGAGGACAAGCUCACCGGUCUCCUGCUUUCAUGUCAGCGAAGAAAAUCUAUUUUUGUAGGUUUAUUUUCUUAUUUGUUGGCGCCUUCUUGAGCCAGGGGUCAGCUCUGUGUAAUGGCUGAGGUAUCACUAAUGUGUGGCAGACUUGUCCUGUCUAACGAAACAUGACGCACUGUGUUGGUGUGUGUGUGAGUGUUGUAAGCGAGAGUAGCUGCUCAGUGCAGUCAGGCCAUUUUGUGCAGAGUCUGCUCUUCCUGUAGGCCCCAGCAGGGGCUAGGCCUCUGAUUCAAAGUGUGUGUGUGUGUGUGUGUGUGUGUGGGACAAGCACAGCUGCUGCAGGGGCCUUUACAAAUGUAAAGAGGCUGUCAGUGUUUGUUUCAUCAGGCGCACAACUGAUGAGGGCCAAGUUGAAAAUCCAUUGCACUGUGAGUGUGUGCGUCGAGCACGCACAAAAAGAGGAAACAAAAAUAGAGAGCAUGGCAAGAAUAGGGGAGUGCAAAGGCACAGACUCUCCCUCCUCCUUCCUCUCUUUAUCCCCCCCCCAGUCUUUCGGCCUCGCUCUCUCUCUCUCUCUCGUUCUUGAGCUGUCCAAAUGAAAUGUGGGCCUCAUGUAGGACCAUGAAGAGAGGGUCACAGGGUUGUUUUUUCACCGUGCCUGAGCCUCAGUGCGGUUCAUUUAACCUUAUGUUUCAAUGCAAAUUCUCCUUUCAUGAGCUCUCUUCUCCUCACGUGUGCAACAUGGCAGGGUUCACUUUCCAACCUCUCUGUCACUAUGACUACGGGGGCAAAAGCAAAGUGUACCGUGGCAAGAGCGACAUUUUACUGCCUGUUUAUUUUACUGUUUACUACAGUUGAGUUCCACGCAACCGCUUCUGUGAAGGUGCUUCCCAUAUAUUUUCCACGAACGUGAGGACGGGGGGGUAAGGUGAGGAUUGAAAUGGCAGCAUUUUGGGUGGGAUCGAAUGAAAAGCAAUGGAGGGGGGUUCUUUUAAUCUGAAACUAUCAUUACUCUCCUUUAUUGUAUUGUUUUGUUUUUACAUUCACCGAUAGGGGGGCAAAAUAAAACCUGGACCUGCUUUUAUUGCAUUGCCAGGUUGUAACAGCAUGGCAUAAAAGCAACUGCCAGCAAAAUAUAAAAGUCCUCAUGGAGAUUACUGGCAGUUUGCACACAGUGCAAAAUGAAGGAAACAAAAUCGCGAUUUUAUGUGCUGCUUGCACUGCGCAGAGAAAUCAAAGCCUAAAAAAAACCCAUACAAAACACAGCCAUAUGUAUCAAGAGCUGAAGUUGGCAGGUAUGUGAACAUCACCAGGCGUUAGUUAAUGUGUCCCCAUGCAAACAGUUGUGUGUUGAAGCAGAAGAGAAGAAGCAGCCUUCCCACACUGCAGGCCCAGCCUCACAUCCCUUUGGCCUCAUCCUUCCUCUCACAGGGCCUGCUAACUUGACAAGCGCUGCCAGAAAGAUCUCUGGGAGUGAAGUUGGCUAGCCCAGCCUCAUUUUAAUCCAAUCUUCUUCGUUCCUUUAGAUUUUUUUUUUUUUUUUUUUAAUGUACGUAUUUAUUAGGUUUGCACUUUAAAUGAGAAGGCAGUGUGGCUUUUAUGCUUAAAUGAAGUCUGCUUUGCCAGUGGAGAGUUUACGGCAUCAUUACAAGCGUUCUGUGAGUUGCCGGCUUCAAUUUGGAUCGGCGAAAGGUGUUCAGCGGCCUUCUAAUGCCAAGGUAGCUCGGCUACUUCCUCUAACAUAAACCCCUUCGUACCCAUUACCUCCCUCUGCCUUCGCUCCCCUUCUUCCCUGCAUCCCUUUCCUACUCCAUUAUGUCACAGGCGCGCAAAGCACAAACUCCUGUUAUGCAACACGACCUUUUCUCUUAUCAGCUGUUGGCACCGAGCACAAUCUCCGGCUCUUUGCUGGCACUGAUGCACGCACUCACAGACACGCACAGGCAAAGGUCUUUAGGUGUACACCUGCAGUCAGUAGGUGAGAUAAACUGGUUUUAAAACCAACCUCGACGCGUUUCGUGGGUAUCAGCGGCUCGAGCUAUUUGCAAGAGCAGUGAAAUAAAACUGGGUGUGACGCUCUUUGUUAUACGUGUGUGUGUGUGUGUGUGUGUGUGUGUGUGACGUACACCACUUGCGUUCCCUCUGUGUGCAUCUACAUUUGAGUGAUUUAUUUCCUCCUGCCCCUCUAGGUUUGGAUGGAGAUUUUGGGGAGGGGAGUGUGAGACAGCUGGUCAGCCCCCGUGUGUGUGUGUGUGUGUGUGUGUGUGUGUGUGUGUUUGCCACAGCUUAUCCGUUCAGGAUCCCCGUGAAGCUGAAUCAACACUUUAGCUUUGUCUUUGGUUUGGCCUUGGCCAUAAGAAGGCCAGCGAAGGACAUUCAUCCACAGUAGGAUGUAAAUUAUUAUCGGUCAUGAUAUCAUCCUCCGAGCUCUGUCAGGUGCCUUCUUUUCACAUUACCUACGGUUGCUUUUGUUUCCAGCGCAGCCUUUUUAAUCUAUGCUCUCUGGAAUCACCGAGCCGCUGUCGCUCGCACCGGCAUUAGCUUUUAAUGACCAUCGUGCGCGCCUCUUGACCGAUCUGCGCUCACCUUCUCCCCGCUUUUCAUCUCGACCGCAUCAGUUUAAUAAACACUCCUCACAUUUUCAUCCCGUGGUCAAUCCCAUCUGAUCCCCUGUUGUGACUCCCGUCGCCUUUUUAAACAUCCAGUGAAUUACGCCUCAGGGGAGGAUGAAGCAACAAGAGCAGAGGCUCAGUCACUAUCGAUCCUCCGUUCCUCCCCUUAGCUUUCUGCCUGGAAUAUCACAGUUUCUCUCGUCGCCCGCACGGCCGCGCGCACGACUUCACGAAAUAUCUCGGCCGAGCCGGUUCAGAUGAGGAAAUCCCUGGGCUUCCUUUUUGAAUGCAGACGUAUCGUGUUUUCUGUAAAGAUAGCUAGUUGCACAGUGUCAUCAGAUACCGCUCCGGGAAUCCUGUUCACGCUUACCAUGAAGUGUACAUUCAUAGCUGUUCUUGUUAUGCGUUUACAGUCUCGCAAGCUUUCUGCUAAGCACAGUAAUCUAUGAAUCACUCUUUUAUGAUAGAUGGAGCAGCUUGUCUCUUUCUGCUAACAAGCCACUGGUCACUCUAUUUAGACCCCUCUUUGGCACGGUGCUCACUUGGCUUACACAUUGCUCUCUCAUUAAAUCUUUUUUCCCCUCACUCCAGUGUUUUUUUUGUUUUUUGUUUUUAAUUUAAUUUUUUUUUUUUAAGUUACAUUUAUUCCUUUUAUCCCCAUUGUAGCCAUUUGUAGCUCUCAAACGUGCAUGGGUCGGUGACCUUCCCUCAGUUAAAGAGCACUCAAAUAUAACCCUUUUAUUUAUUUAUUUUAAAUAACCAAGCAUUUGGCCUCUCAUGAGGGGGAGGCCUUAAUUCAGGAUGGCAGAUCCCUCCCCUCCUAGUCAUGUGGCGUAAUGAGCCAUUGGAGCAGAGUGGCUGGGUGGCCAGUGUUGCUGCUUAAUCUCUAUUUUUAAGCUCUUGCAGAAUUUUUUUUUAACGGGGGUUUACUGGGGUGUGGGGGGGAAUAUGUAGAGACAGAACAGAGAGUCUAAAUCUUGACUUGAUCUUUAGAGCAAAAUGUCUGCUCACAGAAGAGGUGUUAACUGCAUCUGGCCCUCUUCUUGCAACAGUUCAAACAGUAUGUAGAGGAGUGGAGCCGAACAUGUUUCUGUGCUGAAACGCGGUCUUUGGGGAGGGGAGGGGUCCGUGUUGUGGCUCCUGCUCCUGAGCUGUCGGAUGUGCCCGGUUCCCUUGUCAGCGCGGAUGUGCGAGAACAGGAGGGAUGAGGAAGGUAGCGGCAGGAUAAACUUGAUUUGCAGGUGAAAUGCUCAUUCUUCCUCAGUGCGUCCUUCCUGCACCCACAUUCUCUUACAAAAAAACAUCACAUUAUCCCUGCUCCCGGCUCCCAUCAUGUCUUAUAAUGGAAUACAGAGUGGAAUUUUUGAAUCUGUUCCACUUCGAUCUCUCACCCUCCUCCCUCUCAGCUCAUUUGCUCGAUUACUCAGCACAGCUUUGGAGAUAGAGAGGCAUCGGGGAGUUUUCUGUUAAGACACCGAGGACAAGGAGAAUAAGGAAGGGGACACUUUCUCUUUUUUUUUUUGUUUUCUCCACGCCUAGCUGUGAAAUUGCAGAGGAGCUGCAGAGGAGGAGCCCGUGCAUUGUUGGAAUCUGUUUCCUUGUCGUGUGUGUGUGUGUGUGUGUGUUGCGCGUGUUGCAUAUGAGAAUAAUUUGUUAGAAAGGCCAGACUUCUCAGCGACACGUUUAGGUUGUUGGUAGUUUCGGAGCUCUUCCUCUUACAUCUUGCAUUCCUCCAUCUGCUUUGUUUUGAUUUGCACUGCCAAAGAAAACUUCGCAGUCUUCUUACAGUUUGAUACGACACAUCUGUGUGAGCGCCCAGCCCGACACACACGCAGCGCUCAAACAUACACGCACGAGGGCAUGUAGCAUGUAGUCCGAGCCUCCGGGGGUUGUGAUGCCACAGUUGGUAAAUCUUUCACAUUUUUUUUUAUUUUAUUAAAUAGUCACAUGAAUCUUUUUUUUUUUCUAUUCCCACAAAUGGAAAACAUGUUUAAGAAGGGUAUGAAUAGAUAAGUUGGUGAAGUAAUAUCGACUUUUCUUUCCUUUCUUUUGCCCAUUUAUUUUUUUUUUUUUUCCUUCUCUCUAAGGUGCUUUUUAAGGCUUUCCACAGAGGGAAGCAGAAUGUGAGUCAAAGGCAUUGUUCCCCCUGUUUUAACCUCUGCUCAAUAGAUGAGGGCUUUUACAAUUCUCGUAGCUGCAUGAUUUCCUCCAGGCCGCGCAGCAGGGAGCUAUAGUGCAUGGUACACUGAGGAGAGGGCGCCAGACUCUGGGCUGAAUGUCUGGCCGGCCUCCCCCUGGCCCUGGAUCAAACGUUACAAGGCCCGGGGGAGGGAGGGAGGGAGAGAAGUGAGAGAAGUGGGCUCUGGAAUGUGCAACCUGUGAUCGUCAGAGAGAAGAAAUCCAGGAGGAUAACAAUAAUCAAAUUAGGCACCAUUUCAAGUAGAAUAUCCAUGGUGAUCUUGGUUAAAGGCAAGGCCUGCUCCUUCAGACUGAAGCUCUUUGCUGAUGUAAACCUCUGUUUGUUGUGUGUGUGUGUGUGUGUGUGUGUGUGUGUGUGUGUGUGUGAGUGUGUCUAUUUAAAAGAUGUAAUUGUUUGAGGAUGUGGAAAGGAAAUGAGGUAACUGAGCCAGAUUGUCACAGAUGCAGAAUGACGACUUUCACACACUGUAAUGAGUAAUGUAGAAACAAAUUCUGGAUAAACAUUAAUGACAAGCCAAAGAGCAGGAGGUUAACCCCCCCCUCCCCCUUGGCUAUGCGUGUGAUGUGUAGCUUUACGUGCACGAAAGGUGGGGACUUGAACCUCCCACCCCCGGCUUAUAGAAAGUGACACGCAGACACUAUUUCUGAGCAAACGACUUCUUGUUUUUUGUUUUUUUUUUCUCUUUAGGUUGUUGUUAAAGCAUCAGGAUCGCGGCUGCAUUCUGGGGAAGUUACUCGAUUUGUCUUGCAGUGAUAUGAGUAAUCAAUUUUUUUGUGAAACUGAGAACAUGUAGUUGAGAAGGGAAAACUUUUUUAAAAUUUUUGUUUCAACACAAGUCAGUAGAAUAGUUUUAAAAAUAGAAAUUUUAAAAUUGAGACUAAAGACUGCUGCAGAUGAAAUUGUGAGACUAUGGAGGAAAACAGAGAAAGUAGCGCAGCAGUAACCAACUCUUUCUUUAGAAUAGAAAAUGUACUUUUCGCUGUUCUGUUGUUUACUCAUCCUUUUUCUUGUAUUACACAGAUCUUAUGAUUAUAUUCCGUAAGCUGCGAUAGUCAUAGGAAACGGUUAGGCUUUCGCAAUUUCUGACAAUGCCUUAUUUCUUGACCGUAAGCCCUUUCUUUGCUUUAAACAUUAUUGACAGACACUUUCACUUUGAGCAAGCACCCCGUCAUUCAGUCACAGAAAUCAAGAGUGGAAUUUCAUGUUAGUCAUAGCGCUCGGUCACUUAUGACGAUUGUUAUUUCGUUUGCUUUAAAAAAUUCCUGUCUGGAGACCCGAGUGGUGGAGAACUGCUGCCUUAUUACAUAAUUUCACCGUUAAUCGAUAGAGUAGAUCUACUCUCUGCAGAAUAGUUUCAUUUUCCAGGAGAUGGUUUCAUUCUUCUUCUUCUUUUUCCUUGCUUUUCUCACUUCUUGAGAUUUGUAUGUGUGCAGUGUUGUAGCUGUAUUUAAAUUUGCAGCUGUCACUCCUGUCUUUAUGUGUCAAAGUUGAGUCAGAUUUCAUGCAUGGGCACCAAAACCCAACUGUAUGCCACCAAAAAUAAUAUUGUGAGUUGUGUGUGAAAUUUAAGAUUAGCCCAUGUUUGCUAUUAGUUUGAUCACCUCUAACCGGUAUUUUUGAUUGAUUUAUAUUUUUGAUGUUUUGGUUGAUUGGAGCCCAUUCAUGCCAUUUAUAAAGCCAGAGUUUGAGCCUGUAUGUUAGAGAGAAAUUGUUGACUUUUGUCUUUAAGAUGAGCUAAUAAUAAUCGUAUAGGCUGGAAAAAUUCGCUCACAAACAAAAUGGAAAUCUUGGAGGAAAAAAGAUGCAACCGGCACCAUUAAGCAUCGCCCACAAGUGAUGACACGUCUGAUGGUGAUCUACAUUUUGAGGUUCAAUGCGCUGCGCGAUCAACAGCUGAUAACAGAUUUUACAGCACUGCUGUAAUGUACGUGAGAAGCUAGCUCUUGAUCUGGAUCCGUUUGGGUUUUUCUUUUUUUAAAUACUGAGAAAUUCAGUGAUGGAUUUAUUUGAAAGGCUGACUCAGACAAGUGCAGCCAGUAACGCAGUUAUCUAAUUUAUACACGAGUACCACCCUGCCGGGUGACUCGGGAUCAAACCAGCAGCUGGUUGGAGAGCAAAAUAUCAAAAACAUCGAUAAUAAGUGUCUCUCUUUUUAAUUUCUUUUACUGGUUUACCUUUACGCUCCCUCCUCUCUGCUCAGCAUUAGAUUAAUUUUUCACUUCCUAUUCUGACUGCAGUUUGAGAUCAACUGCUCGAUGGAGUGUGAUGUAAGCAUGUGAGCGCGUCGCUCUCCUGUAGGGCGCUAGCUCAGCUGACGCCAUCUAAUAGCCCCUCAUGCAUCACCUUCGCUCUUCGUUCCCAUUGUACCGAUGCCAUUAUUCACCUCUUUCUGAAACCCCUUCUCCCUCCACACGGUUUGUCCCCUACGCCGUCUGUUCUUUCACGUUAACACACAUCUUUCUAACCUCCUCUCAGCAUUUAUACUGCAGUGUCCCUCACCUCCCCACCCCUCGCUACCACAUCCCUUUCUCUGGGCCCCUUAGGCCCCCGAAUUUGCCUUUGUGUUCGACAGUGUAGCUAGUUGAGCAAGAGUGUGUGUGUGUGUGUGUGUGUGUGUGUGUGUGUGUGUGUGUGUGUGAGAUGAGUUGCAAGGGUUUUGUCCCAAACUGAGUUGAAAAUCAUUCCUUAAUUGCCUCUUGUUGUUUUCUUUCCCCCCUGUACUCCUGAAGCCUACGCCGCAGGUCCGAAAGCAGAGGGACUCCCUCGCCUAAGCCCUGAUUUUGUUUCGUAACGUUCUCUGGCUACGCUGUAAUCUGCAGUCAUACAACUGCAGCAACAACAACAGACACACACAGCGGCUUUAAAAGGGCUUAAGAUGUUGGACACCGCAGAAUACAAAGAAAAUGGGCUUUGAUUUCGCACUUUGAGGUGUAGGUGAGAUGUAAAUGAGCUGUUGUUUUCAGUGUGAGAGCUGUUAGUUUAGCCGUCAGUAUCUUUGUUUUCUGAGUUUUGACAUUCUUGAUUUUAUUUAUUUAUUUUUUUGGGUAAAAAGUUUUGAGGCAACGUCACUUUUGUUUUUGUACUUUAACGGUCACGUGCUUUGUAUGUUAUUCCCUGCGGGAGUAAUAGAUUUGGAAAUGCACAUUAGGAAUUAAGGAGAUGUGCAUUAUGACCCACAGCUGUCCCGUCUCCAAACUCUGAAGGCCUACUUUAUUUUAUUUAUUUGUUAUAAUCAGUUAUGGCAAAGUGAUUUCUCUUUUCUGUGUGAAAGCACUGCCCGGUUCUAGAGUCUGACCUUUUUAACCCUGUGAUUGUGAAGGUGUAAGGGUAGGUUAGUUUGUGUGCGUGUUUUCCCUAAAGGCUAAAAGUGUCUUGAAAGAUUGUUUGCUUUAGCUGAAGACCAUCUUCUUUCUGUCUGAACGUUUUUCAAACUUUAAAUGGGAGCGUGAUGUGGCCCCUGAUUAAUGCGCCCGGCCCAUUUCACUUGUUUGGAGGUGCUUUUUGAGAAAUCUGGGCCCUGCAGAUCAGCUUGAUGUGCAGCAGCGUGCAUGAGUUUAAUGUAGAUAAAGCAGAAGACCUACAUUUACUGUGGCGACAGGCUUGAACCUGUGACACUGGUGUGAAGGAGCAUUUGUGUUGGUGGUUAGGCCCUGCUUUUCCUGUUAACCUUCAGAGAAGCGCUAUGGUGGCUUCCAUUAACGAUCAGCUGGCAGUCUUAUCUCCCUGCUAAUCUGCGUCAACCCUUUCCGCUCUGAAAGGGUUGACGCAGAUUUACUUUCUAAAUGUAUUUAUUAGCCCCCCCCCCCAAAAAAAAAAAAAAUCUUAAAAUGGGGCAAGGGUGCUGAAUGAUGACAGGAAAUGUUGACAUUUGGGGUUUGAACUUUUUGGUGUGUGGAAAGGCCCAAAUCGAGUUUGACUGACAUGUCGGGCUCUUUACAGGAUGAGUCUGUCGUAGUUGUUUGGACACAGGAUUUUCUUUCCUCCCCAUACCUCAACGAACUUAAAAUGAGAGGACAUGAAGCGCUGUCGUGGCUUCAGUCUGCACCACAAUUACAGACGAACAGCCAAAACGUGCUCGCAGCCCCUGAUGAUCUCCCUAAAACCAUGCCUCCCGCUCUCCCUCCCCCCCCGUCCUCCCGUCUGUCUGCCUCGCUCCCACUCCCCUUUAAUUUUUACUCCGCCGCAAUAUCCUACCUAGACCGUGAUUGUUGUUUUCUGAGAGCUGGAGCGGUGUUGUUGUAACAUAAUCAUUUAGUCUCCCUCCCGUGGUUCUGGCAAGCUGCACGCUGAAAUCCAUCCACUGCUCAUUUUUAUGGGGAGCAAAUUUGUUGUAGCUACUGUGACUGCUGCUGGCUCUCCUUCGCACUGUAUUUACCGCAGUAGAUGGAUAUCUCCCCCCGCAAAACAUUUGAGAGAUGACACAUGUUGUAUAUACACAUUUAAUAUACCCCAGAGGUCAUGCCUGUGAAUUUGAUUAGUGCGGCUGAAAUAUGAUGGUUGUGAUAUCGAGUGACUUGGCCUAUAUUGAAUUUUUAAUCUCCCGUGUCGACUCCGGCUUACGUGACGUACUCUUCGUUCUGAUCAGUGGCGUUGGAGCCGGAGCGUUUGCUGGGUGUCCCGUAGCGCCGAAUCAGCGUAGUGAAACAUGACACCUUGGGAAUUUUUCUUUUAAGUUUAACUCGAAAUUGUUUGUAUUUAUGGGAAAACGCACAAAAGUUGAGGUGUUACAAGGAUUCAUCCUCAGAAUGACAGUUUAUAGCAGAGCCCCUUUGAAAUACCGUGUGGCAUCAUGGGAAAACUCCUGUAUUCUUAGCACUUCUGUAAAGCAAGAAACUAAUCUUACCUGCUCACUCUCCUCCUAUACAAAUUAUUAAAUUAAAACACAUCACUCAUUUAGUUACUCGAGUUAUUAUCGCAUCUGCGGCGCAGACCAAAUCCCCCUGAAUACUCCCUUUUUGUGUGUGUCACAGAUGGGGGCACCUAAAGGGGGAAACCCUGAUCGAUUCGUGGGGCCCAGAGCUGCACAGGGGGGCCCUGUAACAUGACAGGGAUUAGAUAUUUAUUGUUUCAAGUGCAGAGCGAGUUGUUGACGUGAGGCCCCCCUCUGAGUUCCUAGCUGCGCUUGUGGUUGCAAAAUCGCGAGAGGUUCAAACAGCGAGAGGUUAUCGUCUCUCUCCUCUCGACGGUGGAAUAAAUCCCAUAAACAAUCCAUCUACAGUGCGGUUUAAAAACCCGAAACGACCGUGAGUCUGGAGGAUUAAACGACUCCAGCCCUCGCGGACGUGUCCACUGCUUUGACAGCGAGCUUGCAUGCGAUUUCCAUAAAUGAAGGCGUUGAUGUAUGAAUAACUUGUCAGAUGGAUUGAUUUGCGAAGGCGUCUGUCACUCACAGACGCAGUUUAUUGUGAUUCAGGUCCAACCUGACCCAUCAGAAGUUAACAGACAUUGAACGACUUGCCGAUUCUAAAUUGCUGUAGUUCACCUUUUUUUUUUUUUUUUGGAAACUGUUAUUUUGUUUGCCUCUUCUCAUGAGAGAGUACAAAGUAAAGUUAGGCUGACACCAGACUUUGCUUUCCUUAUGGGACGAAUGUUCUGCAUGACAAGGAGGUGAAUGCGUAUCCAUUUGGAGUCUGCAGUCUCCUUUCUUCUGCUUUCUCUUUGUCCCCUUUUCUGUUCUUUCGCCCUCUCCUUUAGUAUCUCUCAGGCUGGUAGGUGUUUUCAAUGCAGCUAUUGUCACUUCUCAAAGAGCGGGGGGGGGCCUCGUGAGACCCCCGUCCCCCUCCCAACAAUGGGCACAUGCUUCCCCCUCUGUGGGAUUCCCGUGUCUUGGUGUGUGUGUGUGUGUGUGUGUGUGUGUGUGUGUUGUUUGGUGUGUGAGAUGGUUGGAGGUGUGUGAUGAGGCCUUUGUGGGACUGGGAAGCACCUCUCAUCCCUCUGUCGUGUUCACCUGUUUUAGCUGCAGGUGUUAUGGCAAACUGAAGAUCAACCAUGACCGUGGAUAACCGCAACGCCGUUAAAUAAAAAUACACACAGCUGUGGGGUAAUUUUACACUUGUGUGAUUUUUAGACAGAUUUCAUGUAUAUCGAAUUUUAUCUGGAAACUACCUGAAAUUACUUUUUUUUUUUUUAAAGCUUUUUAUUAAGAAUCUCUUUUAGCACGAGCGGCCUGCCUUUUUUCAGCUGUAGCGCAAACCUUCUAACCUUUUAUCAUUUUGCUCUUUUUCAUAAAUAUGAAUAGCAGAACUGCUUUUGUUAAGGCAUGCAAGAGACCUUUACUCUGUAUUCACAGGCUGUAAUCCAUGAAUCGACUAUUAGGCUGAUUGACUGAGUUGUGGUCAAACUAUCUGCAGAAAACCCUUUAUGCUAUGAGAAUUAGUUACAUUUUCAGGUGUAAUAACAUGUAACCAACAAAAGGAUCCCAACAGAAGCCAGGAGGAGUUUUAUUAGUGCUUGAAGUGGUGCGUGUGCUCUCAUAUGCCGUGUAAAAAGAUGGAUCUAACGGCACUUCUGAUGUUUUCUCUGUCAGUUCUGGAUGAAUAUUCGGUGCAGAAAACGCAUCAAGGCCAUUUAAUUUUUUGGGGGGGGGGGUUGAAAAUUCUCUGAAUGGAGAUGCCUUGUGGGACAUCCAAAGCUGCAGUGAUGAAGAGGGGAAAAAAUCUGUCCCUGUCGUUUGAGGAUCAAGGCACAGGAUUAGAAAAUGUGAUCUCUAAAUACAAAACCUGAAAGCUGUAACAGUGGAGGCCUUAAAACUUAAAAGGUGCCUUUUGCGGCGGUGAUGAGAAAUCUUUCUCUCUCUCUUUUAAAAAAAACAAAACAAAACCUUUCUAUUCUCCUCACGUACACAAACAGACAAGAUGGCUGCUUGAGGCUGGAGCUGGCUGUUACACCUCCAGCCGACAUAGGGGGCACCUUUUUUCUUUUUUUUUUUUCUUUUUACCAUCUCUUAACCACAAGAAAAAGAAGUAGGGGGAUUGAAACAUUGGGUUAGGAGCUGCUUCUAUUCCUGAGCAUUCACACGAACAGCAGAUUUUUAUUUAUUUAUUUAUUUUUUUGGUCCUGCUGUCUUUCUGCGGAGUUUAUGUUGAGCCUGGCCAGUGUUUCCCUCUGUGCGACGGUAAAGAAGUAGGUCAGAGAAGAGAUCCCAUUCGGCUUGAGCUUAGCUGUUAGUGCUAGUGCAUGUGCAACUGCAUACAUGUGUGGGCACACGGUGUGUAAUUUGUUUCCUUCCGCCAGGAACCAGCCUGACCUCCUCCGGCUUCUGUGCGUGUGUGUGUGUGUGUGUGUGGGGCAGCGAAGCCACGGCAGAGCUCUGCUCAGCAUCGCUACAAGCAACAGAGUCAGCAGUCAUAUGCAGACUGAUAGCUGAGGCAGUGAUGAGAGGAGGCGGAGACUGGACAGGGAAAGCUCUUUUUUUUUUGCUCUUUCAAAGAUGGGGUGUUUGUUUGAGGAAUGCCGAGAGAGGGGAAAAACGGGCACUGGCACGAAAGGCAGGCAAAGAAAUGUAGAGGAAGAGGUAAAACUGGAAGGGUAAAUUAUGUCUCUCAUACUCGCUCAUUUCACAGCGCACUGCUGUUGUUAGGGGAUGGCUGAGCUGCUCCACCCCUUCCCCCCCACAAGAGCCAAUCCACUAUCAUAUUCCUCCCCAUCCUGCCAUCUGAUUGGUGGGCUCUCUGAGCCAGAGGAAUAAAAUGGGAUUGAUGGGGUAAUCUGGGGCCGGGGCUCAGGGCAGCAGUAAGGUAAGCCUAACCUGGGAAUCAGGACAAUUGUACAGGACAAGAAUGUGGCUGUGGUCGCACAACUGAGAGGAAACACAUGAACGGCUCAGAUUUAAGAGUUUAAGUCUUUAUUUUUAAAGAACACACGCCACUCAUCCUUUUAGCUCUAGUGUUUAAAGCAUAUGUGCAAGUAAUGCUUAAUUCUGAAUGUUCAUGAAAAUGGCAGCAUCUGUCAUCAGUUUCCAAACGUGAAUCUCAAAUCCUAAUGUGCCCCUGGAGUUGUGAAGGUGGGUGGUUGACUGCUACCUCAUACAAAUUUCGCUUUAAAGUAUCAAAAGAUAGACUAGGUAGCGUAAAUAACUUUUAAAAAAAAUAUAUAAAUAUAUAUUUUGUAUUGCACAACAUGGCACUGCUGAGCUACAGAGGGCUAAACAACUGACUGAUGUGAGGGCCUUGGCAGAGGAAAAGCCAUGGCUGCACCUUCUCCCCUCUGGGUAUUGUCAUGGCUCUGAAUGGCUAAUGGGAAGUGAAACCAGAGCUGGAGAUUGCUCUGUAAUGGCUUCUGAGCUAUGUCCUUGGGUAUGUUGUACACUGUACAAGAGCUGAGUUUUCUUAAGCUUUGUUUGCAUCAGGAGAAAUGCUAAAAAAAAAUGCAUUUGUUACACAUCUUUCUACUUCCAUAGGCUGGGAGGCGAUUUUUGAGGUAGCUUCUUCCUUUUAUUCUAGCGAUUUGUGAGCGCACGCAGUAAAAGUAUGCGCUAAUGACAUUCAAAGCGCACAGAUCUCUCUUGUGUGUUCUUCUUUGCUUCAGUCUCCCUAAGACACCCAAGUUGUCCAGGUGAAUGUAGAUGAGGGGAGAGAUCAGGGCGUGCUCUAAUCAAUGACCUGCCAAAUACAAUAAAAACCACUGCUUGCCUCUGGCUAGUCAAUAAGUCAUUGAUGCAGGUGUUUGGGUGAGAGACUUCAGGUCCGGAAAACUUGUGUUGUAUUUUUCCUAACUUUUCAUGAAUGAAAGUCACACUGAUGAUUAUAACGUUUAAACAAUUUACCAAAAAAUAAAUAAAAGCUGGUCAUUUUGUAGUAUUUGGAAGAAAGAUGACAAACUCAGAUUCCGCUAAUUGUGACUCUUCUUCUAACUCUAAGGUUUUCCAUUGCUGUCACCUCUGUUCAUACACCAUUCUCAUCAUAUCUGCGAUAUGCUGUUUACCCCCCGAAAGAGUGUCAAAGGCACGUCCACAUUGAGCAAAAAUCCCCGUCUUUUGGGUUACUGGGAACUGAUCAGAGAAGCUGUGUAUCAGCCUUUUUUGUUUUCUUUCUGAAAUGACAGUCACCACAAACCACACACUUUCACACCUUGAGGAGGAGAAAGUUUGUGUGUGGCGUGCCUAAGCCGUCCCAUAAGGCCCACUCCCUUCUCCCUAUAUAUACAUAUAUUUAUCUAUAUUUUAAAGCUAAAACCUGGUGGAAUUAAAGAGUGUGACUCAACGGUCCAGCACCUCUGAAUGAGCCCAGACGAUGAACAGGCCUCAAGUUAAUUAUUCAAACCAGCAGGAGAGUUGCCUGGCAUGCAAGCAUGCACAGGGUUUCCCCAGGGAUAGAGCAGGGGCCUCCUUCUCGGUCCUCCUGUUGCAGCUUCGACACGCAAACUGCUUUGAAAGAGUGAAAAAUGGUUGUCUUUUAACUUGCGUCAGGUGUUGUGAAUCUCACGAAGAGUACAAGUUUUUCUUUUUCUUUAUUUAAAUGUGAAUUUGUGAAUCUGUGUGCGCCGCCAUUAAAUGUUUACGGAGCUACUUGUAUCUCUGGUUUCAGUCUUGCAUGCAUGCAUGAAACAUUACUUUCAGAUAAUAUUUUAUUCUUAGUCAUCCGUAUACUUUCCCCUGCACCGCCACCAUUGCCUCCUCCUCCUCUUCCUCCUCAGCUGUAUUGACAGGAAGACUACCUGAUUUCAAAUGAGUUUCAUUAUUACACAACUGGCAAGAAAAGCCUCCAUCACCAAUAAACAUCAAGAGCUCAGAGAAGGGGAAAAUCUGAUUAUGUCACCACUGGUUUUCCAAAAAAUAGUCACAUCCACAAUCUAUUACGUUUGGGCCACUCACUUCUCCAACACUGCACUUGAUUGCCAGGAAAUAAGAUCCCACGUAGCUUUCUUUUUUCUUUCUCCCCCCUCAAAUGAUGCCGAGUCCUUAUGCAGGUGAAUUUACCACAGAGAGCUGUACGCAGACACACUGCUAGUAACACAAGCUGACAUUUGCCCCUUCUGUCUUUGAUCCCACUUAUCCGUGGAUUACAAAAGAAAAACGGCACCAUGCUGUGUGUCUAUACGCCGAGCCACAUCAUUACAUCUUUUAGAUGGUAAUUUCUGAGAGCUCGUGUUUGUGUAUGCAAGGCAGAGUGAGCGACGGUGUGUGUGUGUGUGUGUAGGUGUGCACAAGCUGAUGGGGGGGGGUGGUGUUUGUAUGAAACGACGGGACGCGAUGGCUCUCGGCGAACAGGUCUUCCAUCGGCUGCUCGCUUUACCUGGCGGGGUGGGGAGUGGCAGGUGCUACCUCUUCGGUGAGUGGAGGCGUGGAAAACGAGUACGGUGCAGUUAUUACAAACGUAAGCGCCUUGACACGUACUCCUCCAUUGUGAUGAGCAAAGCCGAGAUGAUGCAAAGCCACGCACUCUCACAUACUCCUCCAUUGUGAUGAGCUGUGCAGAUAGGAUGCAGAAAGCCCAGAGUCAAGCGAGUGUGUUUGUGUGAAUGCAUUCAUGUGGUAAAGUGCAUGUUUACAGUUGGAUCACACCACCCAAAUGCUACAGCUAAAAAAGUGUGAGAUCUGAGUUUGUUGGUGGUUCUACAAAAGCUUUAUUUUCUGGGGCAUUUUGGCCCCAAGUACCUACGGAAAUUGUACGCGGCAGAUUUUGAGCUUAAAGUGGCAAACUUGGGUAUUCUAGUUAUCAUAAAGGUGCUUUUCUUUUGUUUUUUUUCUUUAAAAGAGAGAGUAACAGUGGCAUGCACAGAGGAAAUGGAAAAGCUCAGAGCUGGAAAAUAACCCUUAAAACCAUGAACAAUGGAGAAAUGGCUUGAAACAUCUUGACAAGGGAAAAGAAAAUCUGAAAGAGUGGAAAAUCCUGUCAUUUUCUCCUUUAUUAGUAGUCUUGUUUCUAAACUCUCACACUAAUUGCCCGUACAGCCUACAGAAUAGUUCACCUUGUGUUAGCAUGUACAGCGGAGUCGUUCAGACGCUGCUAUCUGUUAGCCUAGCACCACGUGUGGGUGGCUGGCUGGAUCACAAAGGCUUCAGUGUGCCGGCCUCUCUUCCUACUGAGGCUUCGCACAGAGCAGUUUUGAAUCUUUCUGACAGGAUGCCAUCCUCCCCCGCGCUCUGAAGCUUUAGUGGGAAUGGGAACCCGGAUACUGGUGAUUGCAAACUUGGGGGGAACCUUAAAAAAUUUUUUUUUAAAAAUUCCCGCAUCACGCAUUAGUUGGUUUUAUGGCUAGAAAAGAUGACCUCCUGAGGUUUGUAUCGGUCUGCACAAGCGCAAAGGGAUUGAAAGUGUGGGAAAAAAAUCUUGGGAAAUUGAGGGGAGGCGGGUUUUGGGGGGGUUUACCCAAAGGCCUUCCUUUUCUUUUCUUUUUUUUCUUUUUCAUGUGCAUGUGGUUUGCGUGGCUAUCAGUCACCACAAACUCACCACUUACGCUAGAAAUGGAGGAGGGGAGGAAAGUUUUAAAAACCUUUGAUUUCAGCGACGAUUGUUUAUUGGAGUAAUGGUCCAGCUGUGACUGACAUAGCUUGUCCAAAAAAAUAAAGAGAGAGGGAGAGGACACAGGUAUGGUGUGAUAGAGGCGAGGCGAAGUUGUAGGCAAAAAGGAAGAGGAGAAAAGAUGGGGAGCAGGUGUGGAGGGAGAGCGAAUGGAAGACAAGUGGGGGAAGAACAGGGAUCAAUGGCUGUUCCCUAAAUAACGGAUGUUUGGGGCAGCAGCACUUUGGCCUGUCUUCCGCUGCGAGCAGACACUGCACAGAAGCAUUUAUCUGUGCAGGUUCACACAUGCAUUUAUACACACACACACACACACACACACACACACACACACACACACACACACACACUCCCCUGUGGCCUUUCCUGUGCUAAUUCUGCUUCUUUUCCCAGUUAUUUUGGUUAGAGACUCUGUUAGCUCCAGACUCCCAGACUACCCCAUGGCCAAUAAAUUGCCAGUGCCUCCUGGGAAUUGUGGUUUUUAAAGGGUCAUAGUCACAAUGUCCCACCCACCCCCAACCCAAUUACCUCCCAUCUCCAAGGGUGUGUAGAGUUCACCCCGAGCCUAACAACAUUACACUAAGCUCGAUGUUACAAUGCAGAUGCCAGUUUGGCAAGGAGCACAUUCAUUCAUUUGUUUCUCAUAUUUUAAAUGUUUUUCGUCGGGGUUUCUUCUCUCUGUUGUCAGGUUCCUCUGGUAAGACCGAAAUGCUUAACCUCAGGAAUCUAAGGAAUGUCCUCGCAGACCUCAGCAUCUGCGCAUAAACACACUUAAUGCCACGUCAUUCUCACUACAUCGCAUUUUUCUUGUAUUGCUUCAGGUUUCCUUCCGUUCCCUUUUUGUCAGUGUGAGAUGAACGGGGCUCGAUAGAUUAAUACUGAUUAUUUAUGCACGGGCCAGCGCGAAGGCGCUUCUCCAUGCUGACCUGUGAGGACCUCGCUUUCAGUGACCUUUUGCUUUGGGCCACAAACGGACAAAAUGAGCUUGUACACAGAGUGCACAAGUGUUUUAAGCUUUUUAUAGCAGGAUAAACGCUUUGCAAAUCAUUUUGAACUUGUUCUUCCUGCUCAGUUGAGAUGAGAACACACACACACACACACUCUCUCACACAGUGAAAUGCACAGGAGCACACAUUUGAUUGUCUUUCUGCGCUCUUGGCUCUGAAGUCGUGGCUUGAUGGAAAGUGUAGUUUGAGUGGUAGAUCUCUUUAAGUUGUCGCCGUUGUCUGAAGCCCUAAACCUGUUCUACUUCGGCGAAACGUGCUCCUCAGGUCUCAGCCUCUGGCACUUUUCCAGCUUCCGUGCGUGGGUGUGUUUUUGAUGGACGGAAAGGAGAGAGGGGAAAAACGGUUUUGAUUACAACCAGGAACGAGAAACCAGCGUUUCCUCCUCUGGAAAGGAAGAUGACAAUCAAGAGGAAAAGGGGUCAUUGCCAGGUUAAAUCAAGGAAUUUAUGCCUCCUUUUUUUUUUU